AUGGGUAGGUUUACGUUUGUUCGUGGUCCUAGUCCAAGCUCGACGGAGCCGCCGCCGUCGCCUUCUUCCGGCAUGUCCAAUCCGGUGGCUCGCUCUCCCACGCGGGAGGAAGGUUGUCGCGCUCCGACGACUCGUGCCAGGUCUUCAUCGUCUACAGACAGCGGCAUGGCGCUGGAAAGGCUCACCGACGAGCUCCUCGUCGAGAUCCUUCCGCGCGUCCCCGCAAGUUCGGACAACAGCUGCAAUCUCGUCUCCGAGCGUUGGCUUGGCCUCAUCGACCACCCCGACCACCGCAAGAGGCUUCUCCAACCCCUGGCAGGCUUCUUCUACAACAGCACCGGCAAGCAUAGUUUUAAAAACCGGACCGAUGAUCGAACCGGUGAGGCUGCCGGUUCAGAUUUUCACCUGUCAGACCGCUGGUUUUUUCGGUUCAAUGUCAUGAUGAAUGUUAUGUGGCUCUACAUGUUUGGUUAA
rnacentral:rRNA from 1 species